AGAGUUUGAUCAUGGCUCAGGAUAAACGCUGGCGGCGUGCCUAACACAUGCAAGUCGAACGCCCUCUGGCAACAGAGGGAGUGGCGGACGGGUGAGUAACACAUGGGUGACCUAUCUUUCAGUGAGGGAUACCGGCGAGAAAUCGCCGACAAUACCGCAUAAGCUCUUUUGUCGAAGAGAGAGCAAAGUCGCAAGACGCUGGAAGCUGGGCCCGUGGCCGAUUAGCUGGUUGGUGGGGUAAGAGCUCACCAAGGCGACGAUCGGUAGCUGGUCUGAGAGGACGAUCAGCCACACUGGGAUUGAGAACGGCCCAGACUCCUACGGGGGGCAGCAGUGAGGAAUUUUCGGCAAUGGGGGCAACCCUGACCGAGCAACGCCGCGUGCAGGAAGAAGGUUUUCGGAUCGUAAACUGCUUUUCUUGGGGACGAGCAAGGACGGUACCCAAGGAAUCAGCCCCGGCUAACUACGUGCCAGCCGCCGCGGUAAUUC
rnacentral:rRNA from 1 species